rnacentral:rRNA from 1 species
ACGUACACUCCUGCGGGAGGCAGCAGUGGGGAAUAUUGGACAAUGGGCGCAAGCCUGAUCCAGCCAUGCCGCGUGAGUGAUGAAGGCCCUAGGGUUGUAAAGCUCUUUCACCGGUGAAGAUAAUGACGGUAACCGGAGAAGAAGCCCCGGCUAACUUCGUGCCAGCAGCCGCGGUAAUACGAAGGGGGCUAGCGUUGUUCGGAUUUACUGGGCGUAAAGCGCACGUAGGCGGACUAUUAAGUCAGGGGUGAAAUCCCGGGGGUCAACCCCGGAACUGCCUUUGAUACUGGUAGUCUUGAGUUCGAGAGAGGUGAGUGGAAUUCCGAGUGUAGAGGUGAAAUUCGUAGAUAUUCGGAGGAACACCAGUGGCGAAGGCGGCUCACUGGCUCGAUACUGACGCUGAGGUGCGAAAGCGUGGGGAGCAAACAGGAUUAGAAACCCUGGUAGUCCCAUGA